UCGAAACCGCAUGGUUUUGAUUUGAAAGGCGCUUUCGGGUGUCGCUGAUGGAUGGACCCGCGGUGCAUUAGCUAGUUGGUGAGGUAACGGCUCACCAAGGCUACGAUGCAUAGCCGACCUGAGAGGGUGAUCGGCCACAUUGGGACUGAGACACGGCCCAAACUCCUACGGGAGGCAGCAGUAGGGAAUCUUCGGCAAUGGACGAAAGUCUGACCGAGCAACGCCGCGUGAGUGAAGAAGGUUUUCGGAUCGUAAAACUCUGUUGUUAGAGAAGAACAAGGAUGAGAGUAACUGUUCAUCCCUUGACGGUAUCUAACCAGAAAGCCACGGCUAACUACGUGCCAGCAGCCGCGGUAAUACGUAGGUGGCAAGCGUUGUCCGGAUUUAUUGGGCGUAAAGCGAGCGCAGGCGGUUUCUUAAGUCUGAUGUGAAAGCCCCCGGCUCAACCGGGGAGGGUCAUUGGAAACUGGGAGACUUGAGUGCAGAAGAGGAGAGUGGAAUUCCAUGUGUAGCGGUGAAAUGCGUAGAUAUAUGGAGGAACACCAGUGGCGAAGGCGGCUCUCUGGUCUGUAACUGACGCUGAGGCUCGAAAGCGUGGGGAGCAAACAGGAUUAGAUACCCUGGUAGUCCACGCCGUAAACGAUGAGUGCUAAGUGUUGGAGGGUUUCCGCCCUUCAGUGCUGCAGCUAACGCAUUAAGCACUCCGCCUGGGGAGUACGACCGCAAGGUUGAAACUCAAAAGGAAUUGACGGGGGCCCGCACAAGCGGUGGAGCAUGUGGUUUAAUUCGAAGCAACGCGAAGAACCUUACCAGGUCUUGACAUCCUUUGACCACUCUAGAGAUAGAGCUUCCCCUUCGGGGGCAAAGUGACAGGUGGUGCAUGGUUGUCGUCAGCUCGUGUCGUGAGAUGUUGGGUUAAGUCCCGCAACGAGCGCAACCCUUAUUGUUAGUUGCCAUCAUUUAGUUGGGCACUCUAGCAAGACUGCCGGUGACAAACCGGAGGAAGGUGGGGAUGACGUCAAAUCAUCAUGCCCCUUAUGACCUGGGCUACACACGUGCUACAAUGGGAAGUACAACGAGUCGCGAAGUCGCGAGGCUAAGCUAAUCUCUUAAAGCUUCUCUCAGUUCGGAUUGUANGCUGCAACUCGCNNNCAUGAAGCCGGAAUCGCUAGUAAUCGCGGAUCAGCACGCCGCGGUGAAUACGUUCCCGGGCCUUGUACACACCGCCCGUCACACCACG
rnacentral:rRNA from 1 species